rnacentral:misc_RNA from 1 species
UUUCCGUAGGUGAACCUGCGGAAGGAUCAUUAUCGUACUAAAUGUGAGGGGCAGGCGAGGGCUGUCGCUCACCCAAAACUCGUGCACGCCCGAGUGUGUCCUCUUGCAUAAUAAUCCUUCUCACCCUUCGUGAAUCAACGCGUGAGCACCCUCCGCGUUCAUCUCGGAGGCGCGCUAGCGUUUUCACACAAACCCCCCUCUUAAAGGUGUAGAAUGACCACAUUUAUGCAAUCAAUACAACUUUCAACAACGGAUCUCUUGGCUCUC